CCUACGGGAGGCAGCAGUGGGGAAUAUUGGGCAAUGGGCGCAAGCCUGACCCAGCAACGCCGCGUGAAGGAUGACGGCUCUAGGGUUGUUAACCUCCUUUUUUAGGGAAGAAGCAUGCGACGCUUCCUGCUGAAUAAGUCAACGCAAACUACGGGGCAGCAGCCGCGUCCAUACGUGGGUGGCAAGCUUUAUCCGGAUUGGCUGGGUGUAAAGGGAGUGUAGGCGGGAGUGGAAGUCAGAUGUGAAAUUUUUGGGCUCAACCAAAGGACUGCAGUUGAAACUGGACUUCUUGAGUGCCGGAGAGGUAAGCGGAAGUCGGGGUGUAGCGGUGAAAUGCGUAGAUAUAAGGAAGAACACCAGUGGCGAAGGCAGCUUACUGGACAGUAACUGACGCUGAGGCGCGAAAGCGUGGGGAGCAAACAGGAUUAGAUACCCCGGUAGUC
rnacentral:rRNA from 1 species